GCUGUUCAUACCUCCACCACUAGAGGGAAGUGUUGGCUCUGAAAGGCCACAGAAGCAGUGAGGAAGCAGUGGGGGACCAGCUUGUUCUCCGACAGCACUGUGGGCCCUCCAGCAGAUGUGGCCCAUCAAAGUGUGUUUCUUCUCCCCCUUGGGUGAAGCAGCUACAGUGGACUACACCCUUCAGAAGUCAGGAGGUUGUGUUUACUCCAGGGAUUACAUUACCACACCAGAGGCCCACCAGACAGACAGACAGACAGACAGACACGCUGCAUCAUCAACCCAAAGGUGAGGGGAUACAGUUAAACUGCCCAGGUCGCUGGAAGAAGAGGCUGUCUGGCAUGGAUUAAAAGCGACUCUCGUGUUCGGUGCAGAGCUUGGAUGCAGGCCUGGCAGGUGUGUUUGUAGGCGGUGAUCUCCCCGUGAUGCUCCCACUCAGCAGAAAGGAGGAUGGGGGGCGGGUAAGGUGGAGGGAGUCUUUAGUGACAAUAGCCCCCCCUCCGGUUGCCCUGCGUGGGUGUGGGUGGGAGGUGGCAUUUAAAGGCCAUUCAAGCCUCUGGCAAGACCCCCACCCCGAAGACGCCCCCACAUUCUGGGGAUGACUACCUGCCCAGGAGCUCCCUCUCUGCCCAUCUGUCCCUCCUCAGAGUCCCUCCUCUCCCCUCCUUCACCACAGUGCUGCUCCCACACACAAACAUUCAAGCCAAUGGGCGACUGCCGACUCAGCUCUGCAUCAGGCUGACAGUGCAAACGGAGCCAUGCGGGGGGUGAAGACUGUGUGAGUGUGUGUGUCCGUCUCCAGGAGGGCUGCUGUUGUUAUUUGUUGGAGAAUGAGUCGGUGUGUGUGUUUGUGGGAGUCGCUCGGUGGGCGAUUGAACAGUCAUUACAGUUGAUGGAUGUGUGUGUGUGUGGGUGUUUGUGCGCGUGGCGGGAUGCAUGUGUGGGAGGAGGUGGGCGUGCGUGUGGGUUUGUAUGUAGGAGGAAAUAAGUGGGCGGCUGUGGGUUGCUUUGCUGCAUGGGUGGGUGGUGUAGUAAUAUAGAUAUUUCCCUGAUAUACAAAUUUAUAUGUAUAUGCAUAAAAACACUGCUGCUAAUAAUGUUUCAUUUAUUCAUUAUAAAUUUUAAAAGUGAAUCUGUUAGUCUCAAAUGUCUA